rnacentral:rRNA from 1 species
CUGGUUGAUCCUGCCAGUAGUCAUAUGCUUGUCUCAAAGAUUAAGCCAUGCAUGUCUCAGUACUAGCCAACCYAAGGCGAAACCGCGAAUGGCUCAUUAAAUCAGUCAUGAUUCAUUGGAUGUUGUGAGAUCCUUACUCGGAUAACUGUGGUAAUUCUAGAGCUAAUACGUGGCAACUGAGCUCCGACCCUGCCCCGCAAGGGGUGGGGGAAGGGCGCCUUUAUUAGAUCAAAAACCGGUGUCGGACUUCGGUCCGCUCCGUAAAAGGUUUCUUGAUGACUCUGAAUAACUAAGCCGAGCGCUGAGGUCUUAGUACCGGCGCCGUAUCCUUCAAGUGUCUGCCUUAUCAGCUCUCGAUUGUAGGUUAUGCGCCUACAAUGGCUGUAACGGGUAACGGGGAAUCGGGGUUCGAUUCCGGAGAGGGAGCCUGAGAAACGGCUACCACAUCUAAGGAAGGCAGCAGGCACGCAAAUUACCCAAUCCCGGCUCGGGGAGGUAGUGACGAAAAAUAACGAUGCAGACUUCAUCCGAGGCUUUGCAAUCGGAAUGAGUUCAAUUUAAAUACUUGGACGAGGAUCCAUUGGAGGGCAAGUCUGGUGCCAGCAGCCGCGGUAAUUCCAGCUCCAAUAGCGUAUAUUAAAGUUGCUGCGGUUAAAAAGCUCGUAGUUGGAUUUCUGAUGCGGACCGGGAGCCCAUCUAAGGCGCGCCCCUCGCCCUUACGAACGUUAUCCCUGCGCUCUCUCCGUCCUCGAAAUCGGCGCUCUCGCGGGUGUAAGGUAUAGUUUCGUUCUCGUCGCUAACUUUCGAUAUCCCUUUCUCCUUGGUACGUGUGUUUGUCGUUUCUCGCAGCGGAAGGGUGCUUUCGGCGCUCUUUCGUUUCAGUCGAGGCGGCUUCACACCUCCUUUCGGGAGUCUGGUUCCGUCGAUAUUGGUUAAAGAGUCGGAUCUAGCUAACGCCUUGCCCGCCUCGCCGACGUAGGGGGAUUAAAAAGCGGUGAGAGCGCGUUAAGGGUUCGUUCCGGGCGGGUAAGCGCGCCCGGUGGUUUACUACCCGGCUCCGGAUUGAAAAAGCGGUCGGCUCUCACGGGGUGCUCUUUACCGAGUGUCCCGCGUGGCCGACAACUUCACUUUGAAAAAAUUAGAGUGCUCAGAGCAGGCAAAAUCUUAAAGCCUGAAUGGUAGUGCAUGGAAUGAUGGAACAGGACCUCGGUUCUGCCUUUUUGUACCCGGUUUUUCUGGACCGAGGUAAUGAUUAACGGGAACAGACGGGGGCAUUAGUAUUGCGACGCUAGAGGUGAAAUUCUUGGACCGUCGCAAGACUAAGUACUGCGAAAGCAUUUGCCAAGAAUGUUUUCAUUAAUCAAGAACGAAAGUUAGAGGAUCGAAGGCGAUCAGAUACCGCCCUAGUUCUAACCAUAAACGAUGCUAACUGGCGAUCCGUCGGCGUCAUUCCCACGACUCGACGGGGAGCCCCCGGGAAACCAAAGUCUUUGAGUUCCGGGGGAAGUAYGGUUGCAAAGCUGAAACUUAAAGGAAUUGACGGAAGGGCACCACCAGGAGUGGAGCCUGCGGCUUAAUUUGACUCAACACGGGAAACCUCACCAGGCCCAGACACUGGAAGGAUUGACAGAUUGAGAGCUCUUUCUCGAUUCAGUGGGUGGUGGUGCAUGGCCGUUCUUAGUUGGUGGAGCGAUCUGUCUGGUUGAUUCCGAUAACGAACGAGACUCUUCCCUGCUAACUAGUCGGCGAAUCGUCUCCCGAGACGGGUUCUUACGCGGAUGUUUCGGGACGUUGCCCCUUUCCUCGUAUCUCGUUUAAAAGGAAGGCGGUGAGUACUCGUCGUCUCGUCCUUCACGGGGCGUUUCGACGAGCCGUCGCCCGAGAAAAGGUCGAGUAUACGGGGAGUUCGGGGGGCUUCAUUUUCGUUCUCCGCGCGUUGAACCCAGCGAGGGGCGUUCGUCGCAACAUCUUCUUAGAGGGAUUGGCGGCGUCCAGCCGCAAGAGAUAGAGCAAUAACAGGUCUGYGAUGCCCUUAGAUGUUCUGGGCCGCACGCGCGCUACACUGAAGGGAUCAGCGUGCUUUCCCACUCCGAAAGGAGCGGGUAACCCGAUGAAACCCCUUCCCGAUUGGGAUUGGGGAUUGCAAGUGUUUCCCAUGAACGAGGAAUUCCCAGUAAGCGCAAGUCAUCAGCUUGCGUUGAUUACGUCCCUGCCCUUUGUACACACCGCCCGUCGCUACUACCGAUUGAAUGAUUCAGUGAGGGCAUCGGACUGGCGCCCUCGGUAGCCUACGGUUCGCAUAUCAAACUCCGCUUCGGCGGGGGCGGCCAAAGGCACCCCGGGCUGACGGAAAGAUGUCCGAACUUGAUCAUUUAGAGGAAGUAAAAGUCGUAACAAGG